AGCAGUGUAGCUCAGUGGAAAGAGCACGGGCUUGGGAGUCUGGGGUCAUGGGUUCGAAUCCCACCUCUGUCA
rfam:Ornithorhynchus anatinus chromosome 3, whole genome shotgun sequence.